rnacentral:rRNA from 1 species
UGAGGAAUAUUGGUCAAUGGGGGCAACCCUGAACCAGCCAAGUCGCGUGAAGGAUGAAGGUCUUGUGGAUUGUAAACUUCUUUUAUACAGGAAUAAAUUGGGGGACGUGUCCCCUUUUGCAUGUACUGUAUGAAUAAGGAUCGGCUAACUCCGUGCCAGCAGCCGCGGUAAUACGGAGGAUCCGAGCGUUAUCCGGCUUUAUUGGGUUUAAAGGGUGCGCAGGCGGGAUGUUAAGUCGGCGGUGAAAUUUUGCAGCUCAACUGUAAAAGUGCCUUCGAUACUGGCUUCCUUGAGUGUAGAUGAAGUAGGCGGAAUUUGUUGUGUAGCGGUGAAAUGCUUAGAUAUCACGAGGAGCUCCGAUUGCGCAGGCAGCUUACUAAACUACAACUGACGCUCAUGCACGAA